rnacentral:pre_miRNA from 1 species
UACAUACUUCCUCCGUCCAACAAAGGAUGUCUCAACUUUGACUAAAUUUGAAUGCAUCUAUACACUAAGUCAUGUCUAGAUACAUCCAAAUUUUGACAAACUUGAGACAUCUUUUGUUGGACGGAGGGAGUACACA